AGUGAACGCUGGCGGUAGGCCUAACACAUGCAAGUCGAACGGCAGCACAGUAAGAGCUUGCUCUUACGGGUGGCGAGUGGCGGACGGGUGAGGAAUACAUCGGAAUCUACUUUUUCGUGGGGGAUAACGUAGGGAAACUUACGCUAAUACCGCAUACGACCUACGGGUGAAAGCAGGGGAUCUUCGGACCUUGCGCGAUUGAAUGAGCCGAUGUCGGAUUAGCUAGUUGGCGGGGUAAAGGCCCACCAAGGCGACGAUCCGUAGCUGGUCUGAGAGGAUGAUCGGCAACACUGGGACGAAGACACGGUCCAGACUCCUAGGGGAGGCAGCAGUGGGGAUUAUUGGACAAGGGGCGCAAGCCUGAUCCAGCCAGACCGCGUGGUUGAAGAAGGCCUGCGGGUUGUAAAGCCCUUUGUUGGGAAAGAAAAGCAGCAGGUUAAUACCCCGCUGUUCUGACGGUACCCAAAGAAUAAGCACCGGCUAACUUCGUG
rnacentral:rRNA from 1 species